AAACUAAUUUAGUUUGGCGGCAUUUCAUCUAUUUAGAGGAAUUUGUCCUUUAAUCGAUAAUCCACGUUAAAUUUCACUUUAGUUAAAAACUUAUAUACCUCCAUCUUAAGAAUUAAUUUAAAAAUAUUUCUCUAAAUAAUUUAUAAAAAGUUAGGUCAAGGUGUAAUCCAUAUUAAAGAAAAAGAUGAAUUACAUUAAAUAUUAUUUAAAGAUUAUUAAUAAAUAUAUAAAUAUAAAUAAGAAUUUAAAAGUAAUUUAUAAACAAUAAUAAUAUAUGAUAAAGAUAAUAAAUGUGCACACAUCGCCC
rnacentral:rRNA from 1 species